CACGCCGUAAACGUUGAGUACUAGACGUCCGGGGGCUGACCCCCCGGGUGUCCAAGCAAACGCGAUAAGUACUCCGCCUGGGGACUACGGCCGCAAGGCUAAAACUCAAAGGAAUUGACGGGGGCCCGCACAAGCGGUGGAGCAUGUUGCUUAAUUCGAGGCAACGCGAAGAACCUUACCCAGGUUUGACAUGCAUGUGACCGGAGAUGAAAGUCUCCUUCCCUUCGGGGCAGAUGCACAGAUGC
rnacentral:rRNA from 1 species